rnacentral:rRNA from 1 species
UAGUUUAGUGGCGGACGGGUGAGUAACACGUGAGCAACCUGCCUUCGAGAGGGGAAUAACGGCUGGAAACGGUCGCUAAUACCGCAUAACGUACGGAUGGGACAUCCUGUCUGUACCAAAGAUUUAUCGCUCGAAGAUGGGCUCGCGUCCGAUUAGGUAGUUGGUGAGGUAACGGCCCACCAAGCCGACGAUCGGUAGCCGGACUGAGAGGUUGAACGGCCGCAUUGGGACUGAGACACGGCCCAGACUCCUACGGAAGGCAGCAG